rnacentral:rRNA from 1 species
AGCAGCCGCGGUAAUACGGAGGGUGCAAGCGUUAUCCGGAUUCACUGGGUUUAAAGGGUGUGUAGGCGGAUAUUUAAGUCAGUGGUGAGAUCUCCGGGCUCAACCCGGAAACUGCCGUUGAUACUAUUUAUCUUGAAUUCUGUUGAGGUGGGCGGAAUACAUCAUGUAGCGGUGAAAUGCUUAGAUAUGAUGUAGAACACCGAUUGCGAAGGCAGCUCACUAAGCAGACAUUGACGCUGAGGCACGAAAGCGUGGGGAUCAAACAGGAUUAGAUACCCUGGUAGUCCACGCCCUAAACGAUGAUUACUCGACAUACGCGAUACACAGUGUGUGUCUGAGCGAAGGCAUUAAGUAAUCCACCUGGGAAGUACGACCGCAAGGUUGAAACUCAAAGGAAUU